GNGGAGACAACAGGGAUUGCCCUAGUAACGGCGAGUGAAGCGGCAACAGCUCAAAUUUGAAAUCUGGCCCUCGUGGUCCGAGUUGUAAUUUGUAGAGGAUGCUUUUGGUGCGGUGCCUUCCGAGUUCCCUGGAACGGGACGCCAUAGAGGGUGAGAGCCCCGUCUGGUUGGACACCAAUCCUCUGUAAAGCUCCUUCGACGAGUCGAGUAGUUUGGGAAUGCUGCUCUAAAUGGGAGGUAAAUGUCUUCUAAAGCUAAAUACCGGCCAGAGACCGAUAGCGCACAAGUAGAGUGAUCGAAAGAUGAAAAGCACUUUGAAAAGAGGGUUAAAUAGUACGUGAAAUUGUUGAAAGGGAAGCGUUUGUGACCAGACUUGGGCUUGGUUAAUCAUCCAGCGUUCUCGCUGGUGCACUUUGCCAGCCCAGGCCAGCAUCAGUUCGCCGCGGGGGAUAAAAGCUGCGGGAAUGUGGCUCUUCGGAGUGUUAUAGCCCGCUGCACAAUACCCUGGGGCGGACUGAGGUUCGCGCAUCUGCAAGGAUGCUGGCGUAAUGGUCAUCAACGACCCGUCUUGAAACACGGACCAAGGAGUCGUCUUCGUAUGCGAGUGNGGGGGGUGGAAA
rnacentral:rRNA from 1 species